rnacentral:rRNA from 1 species
ACGCUCGACACCUACGGGGAGGCAGCAGUAGGGAAUCUUCCACAAUGGACGCAAGUCUGAUGGAGCAACGCCGCGUGAGUGAAGAAGGUCUUCGGAUCGUAAAACUCUGUUGUUAGAGAAGAACACGAGUGAGAGUAACUGUUCAUUCGAUGACGGUAUCUAACCAGCAAGUCACGGCUAACUACGUGCCGCAGCCGCGGUAAUCUGAGCGGGCUGGCAAGGC